rnacentral:rRNA from 1 species
UACGUAAGGACCGAGCGUUGUCCGGAUUCAUUGGGCGUAAAGAGCUCGUAGGCGGCCACUCAAGUCGAAUGUGAAACCUCGAGGCUUAACCUCGAGCCUGCAUUCGAUACUGGGCGGCUAGAGUCUGGUAGGGGGAUCUGGAAUUCCUGGUGUAGCGGUGGAAUGCGCAGAUAUCAGGAAGAACACCCGUGGCGAAAGCGGCUCUCUGGAACGGUACUGACGCUGAGACGCGAAAGCGUGGGGAGCGAACAGG